CACUCUCGCAACGGAUAUCUCGGCUCUCGCAUCGAUGAAGAACGUAGCGAAAUGCGAUACUUGGUGAAUUGCAGAAUCCCGUGAACCAUCGAGUCUUUGAACGCAAGUUGCGGACGAAUGCGGUAGGCCGAGGCACGUCUGCCUGCGUCAGUGUGC
rnacentral:rRNA from 1 species